rnacentral:lncRNA from 10 species
ACAGUGCCCAAAUCACCAGAGCUAACCUGGAGACCUCAGUCUAAUCUCCAGAAAGAAGAGGAUCCAAGAGCAACACCACGAAGGCCAGGCGAAGUGUGCUGUGCAACCACACGGCACUACUGAUGUUUCUUGCAUGAAGUCUGAGCCCCUCUGAGCCUUGUGACCUAAAUUGCAAGGCUGGUCUCAUGAAGCUGUUCUCAGAGCAAGAGUUAAGAAUUACUGCAGACAAUAAACUCCUUGAAUAACAGAGGACCUGGAAUGUUGUCUGUAACACAGAAGAUUCUUAAUAAAGGCCUGCCAACUUGAAGUGGACUUAACACACCUGCUCUUGCCAUAAGCACAUUGUUUUCAAGAGGAGAAGCUGGGAUCCAUGUCACUUAAGCAGUGUAUGGGCAAUGUCACAGCCAUGAAUGGAGGAAAGCCAGGGACUGAAUCCUAAUCCAGCCAGAGGGUGAUGAGAAAGAUGGACUUGGACUUCAAAGAAAUGAAAAAGCAUCAGAGAGAAGGAGAGACAGGGGUCUCAGAUACAGAGGCCACCGUGAAUCACAUCACCCAGCCCUGCAGUUGCCUUGCACCUCCUGCAUUAGCGGCACCAGUGAUGCGUGUCUGUCAUCUCCCCUGCCACGGUUUGCAUCCCUAGCCCAGCACCGGGAUGGAUGAAAGGGAUCAGAGUCCAAGAGGAGCCUGCUCUUCAAAAAUGCCUAGCGACAAACAGUCCUGGGAGGAUGGCCACAGGGAAAUGGAAGAGAAAACUGAAUUAUUCUGAUUUACCUUCUCUUGUUAAUCGGGUCCCUUUGCAACCACUAGAGACUUUCAGGAAAAAAAAUCAGCUUAUUUAUCUCCUUUCAUAUGGAAUGCAAUAAAACCAAGGGGGAAACAAGCUAUAAAGUGACGCAUUUUUCACAGCAAUAGCUCCUAGGGGAGCAAUACAAGAAAAGAAAAAGAAAGAUGAUCCAACAUCAGGGAAGACAUCUGCUAAAGUGGAUGUCAAGACAAAGCUUCACAUUUUCACAUUUCCCUCAAAUAAUCAUUUUUCUUCUUUCUGAGGAAAGUGUAUUUCAUUUGCACAGGGCUAUCUGGGAAAUAGCAAUCAUUAAUACUAAACGUACUUGGUCCUACAGCUGCCUUGCUCACAGGGAAGCAAAGGAAGAAUGCUGGUUCUUGCUAGACAAUCAGAGGGCACAGUGACUGUAAAAUUAGUGUCAGAGUGGGCCUGGUACCAUUAAAAUUUAGAACGAGGCAAGAACAGACUGUGUCAUUUUCCCAGUCAUGAGCUCUCAGUUUGAGCUGAUCAAUUCCAUACAAGAAAGAGAGUGUCACAAAGUUAAGCCUAAAAUUCAGCUGUUAGUGCAAUUUUCUCUUACUAAAUUUAAUACCGGGUAUAUUGUGAUCGAGAACAAAUUUACAUUUGCUUUGUCCUUUAAAUGGAAAGGUGAAGUCUUCUCUGUGACCAAAGCUAUGAACCCACAAUACAAUCAAGGGCUUUAGAGUUCUCAACCAUGCAGCCUUUGCUGUCUUUGACACUUGAGUAUUUUUCCUUUACUUUUCUAUUUCCUGCUUUAAAAAAAUGGUUUAAAAAUUUCUUGGACCUUCAGAUUAAGUUUCUGGGAAUCUAAAGAUUUUUAACAUUAUUAAAUUGUCUAUUAUAGUAAACUUAAAACUCACAAUAAUUUUUCCUUGAAAUACCAAAGCUGAUUUGCAUAAUUAAUUUUAUGAUAGAAAUUUUUACAUUGCUUUUAUUAAAUUUUCAAUAGACAUAUACAAGUAUUUUAAUAUAUAUUUACAGAGUAAAGAAUAUAAACAUAAUUAACUCCAAGAUACCUACCAGUUUAUCUAAGAUAGAGAAUAAAGCUAAUGCUUUUGAAAUUCGCUGCUUCCUGGUUCCCAACUCCUUGCCUCUUCUCUUAGAACUAUCACUUAAAAGUUGGGUUUAUGAUUUUCUUGCAUGUGUAUGUGUGUAUGUGCAUUUAUCAUAUAUGUAUGCUUGAUCAGAAAAUUGUUUGGCAGAAUGUUUUUAAAGGCCUAAAUGGAAAAAGGCAUUUUUACUGACACUAAUGAUUUGCUUUUUUCACUUAACUUUCUCUGGCUGCAAUUUAUCUGUGUUGACGCACAUAGCUGUAACUCAUUCACUUCCCUUGCUGUAUAGUAUAGUAUUUCAUUGAAUAAAUAUAACACAAUUUACAUAUUAUUCUCUUGUUAAUGGACAU